rnacentral:lncRNA from 1 species
AAAAGCACAGGCUGUUCCUUCUGAGGACUUAGGUUUGUUUUAUGGCACCCACAUGGUGACUCACAACCAUGAGUAACUCCAUCUCCAAAGGAUCCAUUUUUAAUCUACUUUAAAAGAUUAAUCUCAUUUUCAUGACAAAUGUUUCAAGCUAACCUUUCAAUGAAAACCUUGUUUAUUAGUCUUUUACUCUCUGAGUUAUAUUCUUUUGUCUUUGAGUGCUGAGGAUUGAACCUAUAGUGUCACAGUUACCAAGUCACCAGUCACGCCAGUAGGCUAAACCCCUAUCUUCGAAUUUAGAUUCUUCUACUUAUUUUAAAUAGUAUGAGCUCUUUCUCCAUAGGAAACUGUUCUUGGUCAUUUUGUGUUAGAUAGUUUGUCUCACCUUAUGUGGCAUCACAUAUUUAUCCUAUUUCAGUUCCUUUCUAAAUACCUUCAUUACUUCUUACCCAAUCCAAAUCAAAUGUAAAUGUCUCUAUGGUAUUGUAUUAGGUAUGGUUCUCUAGAAGAAUAAAACUUACAGCGUGCAUGUGAUUUGUUUAUUAGAAUUGCUUACAGACUGUGUAGUUCACCUAAUCUGCUAACAGAAAUAACAAGAAUUCAUUAUUGAUCAUUCCUCAAGGCUGGAUGUCUUAGCUGUAUUUCAGUAUAUGUCAUAAUUCCAAAGAAGUAGGGCCUAUUGAAUGGAACACAGAGUCCCUAAUGAAGGAGCUAGAGAAAGUAACCA